rnacentral:lncRNA from 1 species
AUGGACUAUAGCCCGCCAGACUCCUCUGUCCAAGCAAUUCUCUGGGCAAGAAGGUUGGAGUGGGUUGCUGCUUCCUCCUCUAGGGGAUCUUCCUGACUCAGGGAUUGAAGCUGCAUCUCUUGUAUCUCCUGCACUGGCAGGUGGGCUCUUUAUCACUAGCCCCUCCUGGGAGGUCCCAGGGCAGCAUUUCCCAAGCUCCUGCAGAUGAGAAUAGCCUGUACGUGGUGGGUAUUCCAACCCCAGGCCCCUGGAACCACAGCGCCAGGCUCCCCAUGAGGGACCUGUGCCUCUAACGCUCUCUGGGGCUCCUCAGGGACCCCAUGUGCCCUAGGGACCCCACCUGGUUCCAGUCCAGCUGACUCUCCUUCCCUCUCUGGGCUAGCUGGCACCAGAGGACACCCACUGCCAACUGAAAAGAUAAUGAUGUGUCUCUGCUGGGGGUUGGUUAGGCCGUAGAACAGAUAUGAUACUUGAAAUAUUUGGUCUCUGUGUGUGAUGUGCACUCAUCAUGCAUCUCUUCUAAUCAAGUUACUCUUGUGACCCCUGACGUCUCCUUAAUUAAGGCUGAGCACAGCACGCAUGUCAGAGGGCUCUCGGUUCUGAGGAACAGGCCUGCAGCGACAGGGUCUCGGUACCAGUUUUGGACGUCCACGGCCGUGUAUGUCGGAGAGGCUGGCUGCUUCCUCGCUUCUUCAGAAACCAGCGCCCUUACCUCUGGGCUGACAUGUGCAGCUGGCAGUGAGGGGAGCUCUGCUUGCUCCCCGGUGAGACAAGAGACUCUCGAAGACAAGAGGCGAGGGGCACUAACCCUGGUGGACCAGGAGGA